GGAAGGCCAAGUGCACGGCUAGGUCACAGAGCUGGUGCAGGGUCACUGUGAGACUGAGGUCCCAGACUAUCUGACUCCAAGCCUGCUGCGCGCUGAGGGUGGGCGUUAGGAGAGCCCGGGGGUUGGAGAAGACAGGCCUAGUGCUCCCCAGGAAUGAGGCGUUUGGGAUGGGCCCAGAAGGGACCCUGCAGGCAGACAGAUCUGGGGUUUGGGUUCUGGCUUUGCGACUGACCAGCUCUGCUUGGCUGAAUAAUGAUGCAGGGAAGUCCACGUCGGGAGCAGCCGAGCCUUUGGAAGGAACCAGUGCUCCUGACACCUGGACCUCAGACCGGUGGAACUGAUCUUGGACUUCUGAAUUCCAGAACCGUGAGGAGAGAAAUCUGCUUUGUUUUCAGCCCUACCUCUGUGGUCCCUUGUUAUAGAAGCAGUGGGAAAUAGCUCAGCAGACAUUUGUCCUUGGGCUGGUGGGGGACCAUGUCUGAGCCUCAAUUUUGCCAUCUGUGACAGGGGAUGAGAGUGACAUCGCUCACACCAUGGCAUGAGGGUAGAGGGGAGACAGAAAAGAUUCUUCCAGUGUGUGCUGAUUGAAUAUUAGGUAUUACUGCUGCUGUUCUUUUUUAAAAAAUUAAUGCUCGCAUGAAAAUAUGUGAGACUUCUAAUAAAAAGCAGUGCAUGAACAAGUUCUUGUUGAACUAAUCCCCAGCCUCUUUUUGGGGUCCUUACACUGUUUUCUGUUGCAGACCUGUACUGACCUGUGGAUUUCCUAUGAUAAUAUCCCAGCAUGCUGCUUGAGUGUAGCACACAGCUGUUACUUUGAGGAGAGGCUUGCAGACCCCAACAUGACAAGGGACCUGCCCCAGGGAGAGGGGCUGGCCUCGUGUCCCCAGCCAUCUGGUGAACCCUGACACAGCCUGCUCGAGGCCUCCAGCGGCUCACUCCCCAGACCCGGUGCCAGCCGUUCCCACACCUCCUGCCACUCGGCCCAGCUUGCUCUGACCACCAGAGAAGUGGUCUCCAUGGCGACCUUGGGCCUUAAGGAAUCCUAACACAUCCACUGAUGCUGACAAAAGUCUCUGAGAAUCCAAGCCGGCUCUCCUGUAUGCAGGUGUAAUGACCCAGUUUCCAGUGCUGAGGGUUGAACCCAGGCCCUUGACCAUGCUAGCACCAUGUGUCACACGGAGGGAUCAUGGUUUAUUCAGGGGCUCAUCGGCUGAUGGACAUUGUGCUGUUUCUACCUUAUUGACCAACACAGCCUUCAGACCCGGAUCCAGCGUCUCUUCCUCCGGAAGUCUUCCCUGACUCCCUGGGAUGGGUCAUGGCUCCACUGCACACGGCCCCGCCACAUGGUGUAAUCUAAUGUUUGUGCGAUUAUUCAAUUAGCAUCUCUGCACGGGCCGCCUGGAAGAUCCAUGACAGCGCCGGCCAUGUUUGUCUUGCCCUCCUUUCUUCACCUGUGCCCAGCAAAGAGCCAGGCACAAACGUGUUUGUGGGAGAAUCUUCGAGCCAUCUCUGAGAUCAGUCUGCCUCACAGGUGGACAACGGUCUGCAGAGAGCCCCCAGAAUGACCAAAGAUGGUUUGGGAAAAGUCCGAAACUCCUCAAUUUAACUUCUGUGUAAACUGAGCUUCCCACUGCCUCUGUUGCGAGAAAGAAUCAGCAGUGAAUGCUUUCCGAGCUGCCCUGGGCCCGCACCUUCAGCACUCUGUACAGCUUUUGUUCCUGUGGGCUCAGAGCAGAAUACCAAUGUGGAUUUAUAUGCAGACAUUUGUCUUCCCUGUAGCCUUAUGAGCA
ensembl:lncRNA